CAAAUUGAUACAUUGGUUUACUGAAGAGACAUCUAAACGUGGUUGUAUGAUAAAGUGCAAAUGGGAUUUAAAGUUAACAAAAAUGCAUGUUAAAAAUGCAUAAUUUUAGAUCAAUUUUACAUUACACUUGAUGGAUUGAUUUAUUUUUUACUCUAUGCAGGGACGGGUUUACAUGACAGGUACCUGUAGGUAGGCACAAAAUUCUAAGGUACUCCUCAACCCCAGAAAAGAUAUAUAAAGUGGAGUGGAUUUGAAUGAGUAAAUACCCAAUAAAUUAAAUAAGUAUAAUUAAUUUAUUAACUGGUCAUUGCAGGCUGAUAGACAUCUAAACAACAUAACAUGUUGUAUAACUGUUUGUAUACAUGUAGGUAUGUGCAUAUUUGUGCUCUGCUUUAAUGUAUUGUGUUUGAAUCUAUGAGUAUAGUGAGUGUAUGCAACAGUGUAAAGGCAUUGCAGGGUUAAAGACAAUAUUAAAAGUGCUUAGGAUAAAGGGCAAGGUUAGCGUGAAUAAUAUCAGAGUUAGAUUACAUAGGGUGUUUAGAGUUAAUAGGAUUAAAGGUUUGAGAGGGGUUAAAGUAAAAAGACUGUUUGGGAUUAUUUGGUUCAGAGUUAGAAUGGGGUUAAAUUUAGCAUUUGGGUAUAGGGGGUGUUUUACAAUUGUUGAGUUUAGAGUUAGAUAUGGGUUAAAUUUAGUAAUGGAGUACAUGAGUUGUUUAAAUUUUAAAAUAAGUUAAACAUAGGAUAGAGGUUUUAUUAUCAGGUUUAGGCAUUUAGUGUUGAGUUUGAAGGGUUAUUUGCGAAGUACUCACCUUCUGAUGUCUUCUGUAGACAAGUUAGAUUGAUGAUAUUCGCCCUGCAAUAGCUGUUAUACAGUGUGCAUCACUCAAUGCUGUCCCUGCACCUCCAGCAAGGCAUUUCCUGUGGGAGAAGUUACUGUUGGGAAGAUGAGAAAUGAUGCCUUCCUCUUCCUGUCCAGCCUCAGACAGAGACACUGGGAGAGCUGUGACAGCAGUGACUUUUACACCGUCUAACUGUUCCUGCAGCUCUGAUAUCAAGCAUAGAUAGGUGACUGGACAUCAGAGGCCACUGGCCAAGGCUCCUGAUAUUUAUCUCUUCCCAUCAGUCUAUUUAAGCUUAAAAAGGAACAUUACAAGUGCUGAAAACAGGUGCCCCCUGGUAGAGAGGUGUCUGUAGGCAGGAAAUCCAUCACUGCCUUCCAGUCCAAAGAGAAUGUGAUAUGUUAUAUGUUACUGAUUUGAUAAAGGCUUGUGAAUCACCCCCUUGUUAGAAUCCUUGUUAGACUCUUUGGACCAAUCAUUGAUAGUUAUUUUAGAGUAAUUUUUCUCCAUAAAACAAAAAAAUAUCUAUCUAUCUAUCUAUAUAUCUCUAUCUAUCGAUUGAUCUAGUUUAUUUAUUAAACUGGGAAUUGUGGAAAGCUGUCAAGGGUAUUUCCAAACAUAAGCUGAGCAUAAAGGUACACUCCAGGUACCAUAACAACAUAAUCAAAAUUAAGUUGUUAUUGUGCCAGGAGGACCCUGGCACUGGUUUACCUUUAGGGGAUGAAGCCAAUCAUCUGUACAUCUGCCCAGUGACUCUCCUAGGCUUCCAUUCAAACAUUUUUGAGAAAGCGGAUGAGAAGGCAGAGAGAAAGGACACUGGAGAGGAGACUUUGAGGUUAAACCAUUUGAGAACAGUUAAUUCUGUAACCGCCAACAUUUUCCAUUCAGGGAAUGAAGAAAAUAAAAGCAACAAGAACUACUUGUUUUACAGAAGUGGUAUGGUAAACAAAAUAUACUUAGACUUAAACGGUUAAGAAAUACCUUUAGGCAGAUGUAAAUGCUAAUACACCUGUAGAAAAUGCUGUGACACUGAUAUGUCAUUUUAAAACAGGUAUGGACUAUCCACAAACUAUGC